rnacentral:lncRNA from 1 species
GUUCGACAUAAGUGAUCUUCUCCCAUUUUUCCUCUAAAAUAAUUAAAUUAAACUGGUGAUCUAUUCCUAAAUACCUUGAAAAUGAUGCUAGAACUAAUUGGAUACUUUAAAGCAAGACAAAGCAAAGGAAAAUUGAAAAAAUUGUUUUAAAAAACACCGAAGUUCUUUUGUUCCUAGUCUACUAAAAAAAAGAAAACGUCUUCCGUCACCAUUAUUAGGUGUAAAACAGUGUAAAAGUACUUCAAUUUUAUUUUGCGUCAUUGGUGGUAAGGUGAGAGUGGGGGGAGGGCGUUCGAUUGGGCCUAACCAAAUGGUACAGUAAUGGUACAGUUGGCAUUGAAAGGUUAGCGGCUAGCGAACACACGCGCACAAAAUGGUGGUGGUGACCUAUUAAUAAUUAUUUUUCUCACUUUCACGUUUUGCCCUCAAUCUUAAACUAGCUGCAAGUGAGUGGCAGGCUUACUGCCGAGAUCCUCUAGAUACGAGACUAGAAUCUUACUUUCAGACACGUUGCAAGUUACUAAUCUGCGCUUUUUACUCCGAUUUUCUUCCAUUUCAGAGUGUUUCAGAUGGCCAUCAAAGGGAUAAAAGUAAAUGGACAGUGUGGUUUAUAAUACAAAUAGCUUUAGAGAACGGUUCGACAGACAAUGGUUGUAAUUAAUUUGUUUUUGCGUACUGAAAUGGUUGAACCGUUUUCCAAAGCGAAACAAAAAUGAAACAAGAAACAUAAAUGAAACGUGGGCGCAAAGAUGAAUUACAAAAUAAUGUUUCUUAAUGAAAAAAAAAUUGUUCUGAGUUUCAAUCAAUUUAGUUAUUGUUUGUCUCUCGGAAAUAUGAAUGGUUUUUCACGAUCUGACUCGUCUGUCUUUCCGUUCAACAUGAAAAAGAGUGAAAAGAAAAGUGAAAAAAAGCCUGAGACGCAACGUUUUACAAGCCGAAAAUUAAAAAUAAAAAAUAUAAUGAAACAGAACAAAAGUCAAAAAGGCAUGUAAAAUGUUGCAAAAAAAAAAAAUUGCAAUGGUAACGUUUUACGAGCCUUAAACAAUCCCAAAACAACAAGAUAUUUGAUUAAUUUCGUAUGACUCAUGAAAGUAACACGAAAUUUCUUGAUUAUCGCAAAUUUAUUUAGAGUAGGAUGGGCUUAUGUAGGCGAUCUCUUUCAGAUUAGUGUGUACACCAUUUAGAAGGAGAUGGCAAAACGAGCUCGAGUAUGGCACAGAACGAGACGACUAUAGUGACGCUGCAACAUAAUGAUACAUUUCAUUAUUAUUACAAGCAAAUAAACAAACUUACAAUUUAAGCCAUAAA